rfam:Brassica rapa chromosome A1, whole genome shotgun sequence.
GGGUACGAUCAUACCAGCACUAAUGCACUGGAUCCCAUCAGAACUUUGCAGCUAAGCGUGCUUGGGCGAGAGUAGCACUAGGAUGGGUGACCUCUCGGAAAGUUCUCGUGUUGCACCCC